rnacentral:rRNA from 1 species
CCUACGGGAGGCAGCAGUGAGGAAUAUUGGUCAAUGGGCGCGAGCCUGAACCAGCCAAGUCGCGUGAGGGAGGACGGCCCUACGGGUUGUAAACCUCUUUUGCCGGGGAGCAACGGGCGUCACGUGUGGCGCCACUGAGAGUACCCGGAGAAAAAGCAUCGGCUAACUCCGUGCCAGCAGCCGCGGUAAUACGGAGGAUGCGAGCGUUAUCCGGAUUUAUUGGGUUUAACGGGUGCGUAGGCGGAUCGUUAAGUCAGUGGUCAAAUGGCGGGGCGCAACCCCUGCCCGCCAUUGAAACUGGCGUUCUUGAGUGGAAGAGAAGUAUGCGGAAUGCGUGGUGUAGCGGUGAAAUGCAUAGAUAUCACGCAGAACCCCGAUUGCGAAGGCAGCAUGCCGGCUUCCGACUGACGCUGAAGCACGAAAGCGUGGGGAUCGAACAGGAUUAGAUACCCCUGUAGUC